GGGGAGUUCACCCCUAGAGGAGAUGUGUUUAGCCUAUGACAGGCUUCAGCCAACAUCAUGGGCUUUCACGCUUACAUUUUCAGCUUCCUGCUGCUCAGUGUCACAGCAUCUAGUGGAGAAAUUGUGUUGACCCAGUCUCCAGCUUCCAUGGCUGUUUCCCAGAGAGAGACAGUCACCAUCACCUGCAGAGCCAGUGAGAGUGUAAACAACAACUACCUGCACUGGUACCAGCAGAAGCCAGGAGUCCCUCCAAAGCUCCUCAUCUAUGGCACAUCAAAUCUAGCCUCUGGAGUCCCAGCCCGCUUCAGUGGCAGUGGGUCUGGGGCCUCUUUCUCUCUCACCAUCAGCAGAGUGGAAACUGAAGACUUUGCUAACUACUACUGCCAACAGUGGAGCAGCAAUCCAUUCACACUGUGUAACAAACCAGAACAAAAACCUCCUCUUCCUCCUCAGGGCCACCUGCUUCUCCCUCAGAGGCUGUGA